CCGGAGCUCCUGGUCCUCAGCCUCCAGGCGGGGACUGAAGUGACACUGCGGCUUUCCUGCUCUUCCAAGGUGCAGACAGCAGAUCGUGGGGCUUCUUGGCCAGUGCCCAUGAUAAGCCUCUGUCCAUCCAUCUGUCUCCCUCCUGUCGGUUCCGUGUCUCUGAAGAAUCCUGCCUGACACAGCCGCUGAGAUGAAGAAAAUGAGGCACAGAGAGGUUCAUUAACUUGUCCAAGGUCACACAGCGAGUAAGCAGCAACCCUGGAGGAAUGUUGAGUCCAGAAAGGAGAUCAGACCUGCAGAGGAUUGAACUGGAAAACACACCAGGCAGGGCAGCUGGCCCAGAGGACAGGCCUGGCGAAUGUCACCGAGGUCAUUAGGAAUAAAUGAAGGGCCAGACCACCGGUGAGUCACCCGGACGAGCCAGGAGGAUCGAUCUGACGCGGUGAAUGGACAAGGGAGGGAGGUGAGUCGAUGAAUGAAGGCCCGGCCCCGGGGAAGCAGCAGCCAGCUCAGGAAAAGGCCAGAGGUCGGGUGACGGUUGGCCGCGCCACACACGGCAUGCACCUGUGACAGCCUGCUUAAUCACGCCCCUGUGUCAUGCCAAGGGGCCUGGCAGGUGAGUCACCUUUCCUGCAGGCUGGCCUUCAGGCCCUGCCGCUCAUGGUUCCUCCCCGGGCCCGGCAGGCAAUGAAUCAGGGCUUUUCGGAGGGAAAUGAGAAUUAAACACUCAGCGAGGAGCGUCCAUCCUGGCGGGCCGGGGACAGGGCCGGGGCAGGGUCCCCUGGCUCCUGUCUGGCUUCAAAGGGCCCCUUGCCCACGGCUGCCAGGCUUGGCGAUCCCUGGGGUGGGGUGGGGGCGGCUCUGCCCCCCACAGUGAAUAACAGUCACGACCACGAAACGCUCGCUGGGCCAGGGGCUGCUCACUCAUGUCUUCAUUUGUCCUCGUCUCUCUACCGCCGGCGGCCGUCUGCUGGAACCCCGGGAUCGGCUGGUCAUCUGCCCGAACUUGACCUGCAGAAAUGACAAUCCCAUGUGUCGCUCGCUCUAACAGUCUCAUUGCUGGAAUCUGGCAGCACGGGAGGCUCAGAGCGGCUGAGCAGCAGGGGGACGGCCUGGAGGACCCCGGGGGCUCCCACAGGAGGGGCCGGGUCUGGGCCCGAGGCAGGGCGGUGGGGCAGGCACACGGCCUCAGGGCUGCCGCCCGGCCAUCCCCACCGGGGAAUUCGGUGCUGGGGAUUUUGAGCCGUUGGAGGGGAGGGUGGGGCUUUCUCGCCCUCCUGCUCGGGUCCUGGGGGAGGCAGUGGAUGCCAUGUCGAGGGCGUGGCACAUCCCUCCCCUGCUGCAGAGAAACGUUUGCUCGCCCUGCUUUGCCCCAGCUGACUGCCGUGCCCUGGAUGCGUCCCUUGCCAUACUGUUGCCAAAUCUAUCUGUCCCUGAUACCAGCUCAGACACUCCCUCCUCCAGGAAGCCUUCCAGAUGUCCGGGCCAGGCCUAUACUUUCCUCAGCCCUUCUCUGCAUCCCUCUUUGGGGCUUAGUGCUUCUGGCCUCCUCCCCUCCUCUGACCUCUCUGAGGGGGUUAUUUUACAGCCACGUGGGGCUUAUUCUGUAACCCCGGGCCCCUCCCACGGGAGCUGCCAUGGAGCUAAGCUUGCGGUUAAGCUCACGGUCACCUCCCGUACACCUUUCCUCCUACUGGGCUCUUUCCACCUGUGAUCCCGUUGGUCCUCACCCUGAGGGGUGGGUGCUGCUCCUUACUCCCAUUCUGGGAACGUGGGAGGCUAAGGAGCCCACCCUAGUCUCACGCCAGCAAGCGGCAGAGGUAGCACCCAAAGCCGGUCGGGCUGUGUCUGCGGGUGUCUCGGGGGCACGAACCUUCUGCCACCAAGCUGACCUCAUGUGGUGUUAAAAUCCGGCCUCCCUUUCAACAGCUGCCAUAGAGCAUCCGGAAGCAUCGCAACCUAAGGCAACUGUCCCUGGUAUUUCUACGGCUCCUCCCCUCCUAGUUUCUCCUGCCAACCCCGAGAGGUGGGGACAAGUGCCCUCAUCGUGCAGGUGGGACGACUGAGGCCCGGGGGGUGCAGGGCUCCCAGGGCACCUGGCUCCGACGGGGCGAAGCUGGGUGCCCCCUGGACUCCUGGUUUCUGAGCCCAGCUCAGCACGUGGAGCGUGGCGUCCCACCCAGCACCUGGAGUGGGAGGGACAUCCGAGAAGUAGGCUUCCUGCUGAAAGCCCAGCUUUCUGGAAAGGAGCUGCAGGAAGCUGGAAGAGGACCAGGUAGCAGAUAGGCACACUCCUUGCAGGCGGAAAGUCUACCCGUCACUUCUGGGAACCGGGGUAACUCAGCAAUAACGCGGUGCACUUUGCCCCCAGUGGAGCGCCCAGCUGUCACUGCUGACAGCCCCCCUUCCUCCCCCGGGGGUGCAGCUGGGCAGCUCGGAGUCUCCACGUCUGACAUCCAGGUGGGCCUGGUGACAGCCUUGGGGGUAUCCGGCCACCUGUCCAGCCACCACCGGAUGACAGCCAGCUGGGGCUUCUGCCAGCUGUCCGGGAGGCAGCCCAGGCUGGGACAUCCAAGCGGAGCCCUGAACUGGCCUGGCCAGGCCCAGCCCGUGCCGGUGAGAUAACCUUUGCUCAAGCUACGGCCUCAGCCUGGGAUGCUGUUUCCUGCACCCUGUUUCUAUAACUCCUACCGUCCCUCAAGACUCAGCAUCGCCACCCCCAGGAAGCCUUCCUGGAUGCCCCCAGCUGGACCAGGACUGGGCGCUCCAUGAGGAGCUGGCGUGGAGGAGGAGGGGAGAUGUGGACAUGCAUACAGGCACCGGACACUGUAGGACAUUCAGCCUACAGGGUUGACGAAGGACUGGCCAUGGGACCAGGCAGAGGGACAUAUCAAGGACUGAGUGACCAGACAUUCGACUGUGCCAGAGCUAGGAUGUGACAUGUGACUGGGCUCAGCCAAUCAGAAGCUCCUGCUCUGGAGUUUGAACAGGCAGCGGGUCCCGCCCACAGAAGAGGACAGAGAACUUCUGGCGGGAGCCCAAGCCACAUGGAGCUCCAGGGCAGAUGCGAAGAAGCAAAACAUCCCAGGCUGGCUCUGUGGUGGGAAUGGGUGAGCACAGUUGGAUUCUAUCAUUUGUCACUAAGAACCCUGGAGUCUCCUCUUGGGGAUACCACUGGAAUCCAUCUGGAAAGAAGGCCAGGACGUGCCCGUGGGUGCAGGAAGCAGCUGACCAGGUCAAGGCCAGGCUCCGGGGACGGCCCAGGGAAUGUUGGGGUGACUGCUGACCGGGGUCCGAGUGUGGGGCUCAGGGUGGAGCUGCUGGCAGGGAGCAGACCCAAGACAGCAGAUCCCGAAUGCCAGGCCAGGAGCAAGCUUGGCUGCCACCCUGCAGGCAGUGGGGACCCAGUGACAUAUUUUGACUGGAGGUGGGACUUGAUCUGAUUUGCAUUUCAGGAAGCUCAGUCUGGUGCUGGGAAGCCAGACCAGGUGGGGCAAGGCUGGGAGAGCCAGAGACCAGCCGAGCCACUCCUGCAGUCGUCCCAGCAGGUGGUCCUGGAGGCUGUGGCAGGGGGCCGCGGCAGAGCUGGGAUUCGGUGUGGCUGGCCAGCCACGGGGAGCCAUUGAAGGUUUGGGUGGCCUGACAUGACCACAGGAAAGUGGGGUUGGACCUGCCUGGCUGCCUGGAUGAGGGUCUCGGGUGUCUCACCCUUGGACAGCUCCGAUUGCUUCUCCAGUCUCUGCGCCAGGGCUUAGUUUGCGCUCGCGCCUCCCGGCCAAGUUGACACAGACCUGCAGCUAUUUAAGAACGGGAAAAAGGUCACUGCAUGCCACCACUGCCCAGGCCCCUUGGCCACGGGUUCUUGAGGAAGGGCACAGCCUUAGGGCCACCUCUGUCCAGAAAGAGGGACUUGGCGGGGGUGUUGGGGUCUGGGAACACACGAAGGGGAGUCAGGCUGGGAAAAUGAGGGGACAGGACACAGAGCACAUGGCCGCCCCUGCCAACCCAGAGUCCCCUCAGCAGGGAGCUGUCCAGAGGGAGCAGGGGGUGGAUGCCAACUCCAGGGCUCACCCUCUUCACCCCAAACAGCACUGGCCUCGUCCCUGGGAGUCCCCAGAGUCCCGUCCCUUGGAAGAAUAUCCUGGAGUCAUCCUGGGGCCAUUCUAGGGAUGAAAACUUGGAACACAGAGUCGCAUAAGACACUUGAUUUUUGUUUGUUUGCUUCCCCAAAUCAUACAGUUUAAAAGCUAAGUGGGGCCCUGGGACCCCAAUGGGCUCUCUGUGUGUCAGCUUCUUAACCUCACCGGGCCGCGUUUCCUUCUCUGUAAAGCGGGGAACACGUACAGCCUUCAGGAGGUGGCUCCUCCAGGCGCCCCCUGACGUCCCUUCCUCUCUCGCUGCCCAAAGCGGCCGCGCCAGGCACCCAGCCUGCCGGGAGACGGACCAGCAACGGAGGAAGCAAUUUCACGUUGACAACCAGAACCAAGCCCUGCAGGACACGGGCAUCUGGGGAGGACUGUGGGCUUACGCCGGCCACCCUCGACCCGUUCAUUCAUGUCACCCCCCUGCACCUGGAGGCAGCUGACUUUGCAGCCACUGAGGGCCGGGGGUGACUGGCUCAGAUUGGCACUUGGGAAGUCCCCGCUGCUGCUGCUGCUGC